rnacentral:lncRNA from 1 species
GGGAAAGGGCCUGGGUGCGGGGUAAGGGAUUCCCGAAGAUUUUCUCUGUGCCCCUUUCCUUGUGGGCUCUUUCCAGAGCAAAUCCCAAAAGUCUUCCGCAUGGGUCUUGCACCUGGUUGCAAGGGCUUUGAUCCCUGGGGCCACAGACUCUUUGGCCGACAGGUAAACGGAGGCCCUUGGAGGAAACCACCUUUUGUGUUGGGUAUAGAGGUCUGCGCAUGUGACCUGGGGUGCAGAAGAGAGCCAGGCCCUUCAAAGCCAUGUCCCCCUGGCUCAGUGAGCACUCCAAGUCCCCGAGUCCCAUAACCUGCCCAGUGGGGAGUGGACAGCUGGGGAUCCCAGCCCUUGCCCACAGCCACCACGUGCUGCAUGUCUGUGUGUUGGUGGUGGGUAGGGGCGUGGCACAGGAGACGAGCAACCCUGGGGACCAGGUGCUAGCCUGGGGAGGGACGGCUGUGGGCAGGGCUGGGUGAGCAGGAGGAAGAUGACUCAGAGGAAGGAGGAGCACUGCCUGUGAGUCUGGACUUCAUCCUUAGGGCCAUGGCAGCAGGGGUGGGUUUGGAAGCUGGGAGUGUCGGGGACGGGGAUGGAGGCUGCCUCCCUGGGCCGGGCAGAGGCAGGGACAGGAGGCCAGUGGCAGGGUGGGGCCUGGACCUUUAGGGCCCUAUUACACUCGGCCUCCCAGGGCUGGGACCUGGCCCCGGGCCUGCACUGUGAGGCUGGCAACCUUGCCAGGCUGAGCCUCGACCUGGAGCCCAGCCAGGCCCUCCUGAGACCCAGGAUAAUGUGUGCUGGCCUGUCUUCACCCCACUCACGGGCUCUGUGGGGGCAGAGCCGCAGUUUUCAGCACAGUGUUUUCUGAUGCGAGCACCAAGGAGCAUCCGGCAAACUCCGGGGGCCUCUCCCCAUUCUUCACCGCGGAACGACGCCUCUUUAUGGCCACUAUCAAUAACCGCUCCCCACCCCUGGCCGCCGCAGUGGCCACAUAUAUAAUAUUUAAACCACGUUGGGGAUGACGGAG